UACGGGGGGGGCAAGCGUUGUUCGGAAUUACUGGGCGUAAAGGGCUCGUAGGCGGCCAACUAAGUCAGACGUGAAAUCCCUCGGCUUAACCGGGGAACUGCGUCUGAUACUGGAUGGCUUGAAUCCGGGAGAGGGAUGCGGAAUUCCAGGUGUAGCGGUGAAAUGCGUAGAUAUCUGGAGGAACACCGGUGGCGAAGGCGGCAUCCUGGACCGGCAUUGACGCUGAGGCACGAAGGCCAGGGGAGCAAACGGG
rnacentral:rRNA from 1 species